rnacentral:rRNA from 1 species
UACAGAGGUCUCAAGCGUUGUUCGGAUUCAUUGGGCGUAAAGGGUGCGUAGGCGGCGCGGUAAGUCGGGUGUGAAAUCUCGGAGCUUAACUCCGAAACUGCAUUCGAUACUGCCGUGCUUGAGGACUGGAGAGGAGACUGGAAUUCCUGGUGUAGCGGUGAAAUGCGCAGAUAUCAGGAGGAACACCGGUGGCGAAGGCGGGUCUCUGGGCCGAAACUGACGCUGAGGAGCGAAAGCGUGGGGAGCAAACAGG